rnacentral:rRNA from 1 species
AGCGAACGCUGGCGGCAGGCUUAACACAUGCAAGUCGAGCGGGCGUAGCAAUACGUCAGCGGCAGACGGGUGAGUAACGCGUGGGAACGUACCUUUUGGUUCGGAACAACACAGGGAAACUUGUGCUAAUACCGGAUAAGCCCUUACGGGGAAAGAUUUAUCGCCGAAAGAUCGGCCCGCGUCUGAUUAGCUAGUUGGUGAGGUAACGGCUGACCAAGGCGACGAUCAGUAGCUGGUCUGAGAGGAUGAUCAGCCACAUUGGGACUGAGACACGGCCCAAACUCCUACGGGAGGCAGUAGUGGGGAAUAUUGGACAAUGGGCGCAAGCCUGAUCCAGCCAUGCCGCGUGAGUGAUGAAGGCCCUAGGGUUGUAAAGCUCUUUUGUGCGGGAAGAUAAUGACGGUACCGCAAGAAUAAGCCCCGGCUAACUUCGUGCCAGCCGCCGCAGUAA